CAAUAAGCGGAGGAAAAGAAACCUAACUAGGAUUCCCCUUAGUAACGGCGAGUGAAACGGGAAGAGCUCAGAUUUGUAAUCUGGCCGUCCUCGAGGCGGACCCGAGUUGUAAUCUGCAGAGGCGUAUUCCGUGCCGGUCCCUGUCCAAGUCCGUUGGAAUUCGGCGCCAUUGAGGGUGAGAGCCCCGUUGGUGACGGGGGUAGCCGGUGCAUUGCGUUGCGCUCUCUAAGAGUCGUGUUGUUUGGGAAUGCAGCACUAAAGGGUGGUAAAUUCCAUCUAAAGCUAAAUAUCAGCGAGAGACCGAUAGCGAACAAGUACCGUGAGGGAAAGAUGAAAAGCACUUUGGAAAGAGAGUCAAACAGUACGUGAAAUUGUUGAAAGGGAAACGAUUGAAGUCAGUCAUGCCCACUGGGGAUUCAGCCUUCGGGUGUACUUCCUCGGGGGCAGGUCAGCGUCGGUUUCGGGGGUCGGAUAAUGGACUAGGGAACGUGGCCCGGCUUCGGCUGGGUGUUAUAGCCCUUUUCUGGAUACGGCUUUUGGGAUCGGGGACCGCGGCGUGCCCUUAUGGGGCAGGGGGUUCGCCCCCUCCCGCGCCAAGGAUGUUGGCAUAAUGGCUUUAAACGACCCGUCUUGAAACACGGACCAAGGAGUCUAACGUGCGUGCGAGUGUUCGGGUGUGGAAACCCGGGCGCGGAGCGAAAGCGAAUGCAGGCGGGAUCCGAAAGGUGCACCGUCGACCGGCCCUGAGCUUCUGCGAAGGGACCGAGUGAGAGCGCGUAUGUUGGGACCCGAAAGAUGGUGAACUAUGCUCGAAUAGGGUGAAGCCAGGGGAAACCCUGGUGGAAGCUCGUAGCGGUUCUGACGUGCAAAUCGAUCGUCGAAUUUGGGUAUAGGGGGCGAAAGACUAAUCGAACCAUCUAGUAGCUGGUU
rnacentral:rRNA from 1 species